GGUCUAUCCCACUGCAUGCUAUGUUUCAAACAAUCUGGUCCACUGAAGGCAAGGGGAUCUUUCAGCAUUUACAGGGGCGAAAAACACUCAACACAUGUUAGUGACUUCCUGCACUGCCUUAGACAGUUCUCUGCUCAGUGCCUCCAUUUCCUACUUCAGCAGAAUGGGAACAAUGUCCAGGCUUUACUUGCACUGUCCAUGGCUCUUGAAGACAUAGAUACUUGUACAGAUCAAUACACAGAAUGCCCAGCACUUUAUAGACCUGAUUUCAGCAGAAAUGCCAAGAUCCUUCUGAUAUAUAUUGCCUGUUUUUUCUUCAGGUUGAUUUGUACUUAAGACCCAUGCAUGUGGACAAAUGUUAUUCUUGAAUAAAGUGACAGAGAUGACAUGGAAAAAUGCUGCC
rnacentral:lncRNA from 1 species